rnacentral:lncRNA from 1 species
CCCCGAUUUAGCCGCCCCGAGGUUUCGGUUCCUCCUCGGCGCCGCGCCGGCGAUGACGCGCGACGGGGAGGGGAGAGGGGGGAGUGCCAGAGGUUGGGGGGGCCGAGAUUUGGGAUGGCCAAGAUUUGGGAUGGCCAAGAGUUGGAUGGCCAAGACAGUGCAUGGCCAAGAGGUUGGAAGUCCAAGAGGUGGGAAGUCCAAGAGGUUGGAUGUCCAAGACAUUGGAUGUCCAAGAUUUUGGAUGUCCAAGAGAAUUGAUGUCCAAGAGGUUUGAGUUGUCCCAGAGGUUGGAUGGCCAAGACAUUGGAUAUCCAAGAGAUUUGAUGUCCAAGAGAUUUGAUGUCCAAGAUUCUGGAUGUCUGAGAGAAUUGAUGUCCAAGAGGAUUGUUGUCCAAGAUUUUGGAUGUCCAAGAGAUUGGAUGUCCAAGAGAUUGGAUGUCCAAGAGAUUGGAUGUCCAAGAGUUUGGAGGUCCAAGACAUGGAAGUCCAAGACAUUGGAUUUCAAGACGUUGGAUCCCCCAGUCAUGGGAUGUCCAAGAGCUUGGAUGUCCAAGAGGUUGAAUUCUGAGAUGUUGGAUGUCCAAGAGGAUUGUUGUCCAAGAUUCUGGAUGUCCAAGAUUUUAGAUGUUCAAAAAGUUGGAUGUCCAAGGGGUUCAAUGUCCAAGGGGUUGGAUGUCCAAGAGAUUGGAUGUCCAAGAUUUGGAUGUCCAAGAUUUGGAUGUCCAAGACAUUGGAUGUCCAAGAGAUUGGACUCUGAGAUGUUGGAUGUCCAAGACAAUGGAUGUCCAAGACAUUGGAUAUCCAAGAUUUUGGAUGUCCAAGAUUUGGAUGUCCAAGACAUUGGAUAUCCAAGAUUUUGGAUGUCCAAGAUUUGGAUGUCCAAGAUUUGGAUGUCCAAGAGGUUGGAUGUCCAAGAGAUUGGAUGUCCAAGAUUUGGAUGUCCAAGAUUUGGAUGUCCAAAACCUGGCACGUCCAAGAAUUUGCAUGUCCAACCCAUUGGAUGUCCAAGAGAUUUUGGGCUCUUCCAUGUGCCAAAGAUCCACCUUCCCAGCAGAUCCCGGGAUUCGGUGACUUCCGG